AUGUGCCACUGGAAUACGUCAGCUAUGGGGCCAUCAGCAUUGAGGGGGCAUGGCUGAAAUGGGGCCCCAAACGGCCCCCUCUGUCCUCUCCACCUUCCUCCUGGGUGCCCUGCUCCUCUCUGGACCAGGAGGCAUCUGGUUUGAGCCCCGAAAGCCCAAGUCCUUGACCAGAGAAGGGCGCCUGUUCUCAGGGAAAGCCACUGCACAGGACAGCUGUCAAACCACGUGGUCUCUGGGCACCUUCUUAGUCCUGAGCUUGAAUGAGGGGCGAGUGAGUGGCCACUGUUUCUUCUGAGUCAGCAGCGAAGGGCAGUUACCUUUGGGGCUUGCAGGCAAAAUUCUCAACCAACAGCUACCACGCACUUGGCGGGGCCGCCUCUCGUGCUUUAUAUUUGAGAAAUAUGUGCUUCGUGUCUUUUUUAGAAGGUGUAGUGAACUUCAUACAAUUCUUCUGGUCUACUGGGCGCACACUUCAGUGUAUGUCACUCUGACCUGCGCCUUCCGCUAUGGCCAAGAGGACAUUGACGUGAUCGGCUUGACCUUCCGCAGGGACCUGUACUUCUCCCGGGUC
rnacentral:misc_RNA from 1 species